AAUGAGCUUUAAAUUAAUUUACCAGAGUGAAGCUACUCUACGGAUAACAGGCUUAAUUUCCGCAAUAUCCAAGGUCACAUUAUCAAGAAUAAAGCACCUCGAUGUCGGCUUAUCUCAACCAAGGUAAGUAGCCCAAA
rnacentral:rRNA from 1 species